GACGAACGCUGGCGGCGUGCUUAACACAUGCAAGUCGAACGGAAAGGCCCUGCUUGCAGGGUGCUCGAGUGGCGAACGGGUGAGUAACACGUGGGUGAUCUGCCCCUUACUUUGGGAUAAGCCUGGGAAACUGGGUCUAAUACUGGAUAGGACCAUGCUGUAGGUGGUGUGGUGGAAAGAUUAGUUUCGGUAAGGGAUGAGCUCGCGGCCUAUCAGCUUGUUGGUGGGGUAAUGGCCUACCAAGGCGUCGACGGGUAGCCGGCCUGAGAGGGUGGACGGCCACAUUGGGACUGAGAUACGGCCCAGACGACUACGGGAGGCAGCAGUGGGGAAUAUUGCACAAUGGGCGCAAGCCUGAUGCAGCGACGCCGCGUGGGGGAUGACGGCCUUCGGGUUGUAAACUCCUUUCAGCCAUGACGAAGCCCUUGUGGUGACGGUAGUGGUAGAAGAAGCACCGGCUAACUACGUG
rnacentral:rRNA from 1 species